rnacentral:rRNA from 1 species
UCAGGACGAACGCUGGCGGCGUGCCUAAUACAUGCAAGUCGAACGGCUUUUCUAUGGAAGCUUGCUUCCACUGAGAAGAUAGUGGCGAACGGGUGAGUAACACGUGGGUAACCUGCCCAUAAGAGGGGGGAUAACAUCCGGAAACGGGUGCUAAUACCGCAUAGUUUUCUUGAUCGCAUGAUCGGGAAAGGAAAGACGGCCUUUGUGCUGUCGCUUAUGGAUGGACCCGCGGCGUAUUAGUUAGUUGGUGAGGUAACGGCUCACCAAGACGAUGAUACGUAGCCGACCUGAGAGGGUGAUCGGCCACAUUGGGACUGAGACACGGCCCCAACUCCUACGGGAGGCAGCAGUAGGGAAUCUUCCGCAAUGGACGAAAGUCUGACGGAGCAACGCCGCGUGAGUGAAGAAAAGGUUUUCGGAUCGUAAAACUCUGUUGUCAGAGAAGAACAAGUUGGAGAGUAACUGCUCCAGCCUUGACGGUAUCUGACCAGAAAGCCACGGCUAACUACGUGCCAGCCGCAGC